rnacentral:lncRNA from 1 species
GUUAAGUUGUGAACUUACUAUUUAUCACAGAUACUUGAUUAUAAUCCUUUUACACAGCUUGAAGUAUACUGAUAUUUCCCUAUCCACAAGAAACACUGGCAACUAGGUGAAGUUUGUUUUUAGUGACCUCAUGUGCAUUUUUUAAAGGUUUAUUUUCACAAUUCAUGGAAUCUCUAUUUCUAAUCUACUUCCAAAGCCUUGAGGCUUGUUGUUUUCAUUUGGUAUUUAUUCUUUAAGAGGUGUCAACCUGUUUAAUUUGGUGAUAAUUUGAAUCUCUAAAUUGUUUCCUCCCAAAAAUAUUUGCAUUGGUAAAUGAGGGGGCUCCAGAGAAGGCCAGGACUUUCCCAAGUACUGGGGAAAAAUAACAGAGUAGGGAGUGCAUUGAGGGAUGCACUCACCUGCCUGUCCUACUUUAGAUGAGAGUUGGGCUCACUUUCCUGAUUGAAAUGUGUGCCACAGGGAGGAAGAGCAGGAAGAAAAGAUUAACAUUAAACAGAUACAUGAGGUGGGAUGGAAAGGGAGAGAAAAGGGAAAUUGCAUGGUAAUGGAG